rnacentral:rRNA from 1 species
UGUCCGCAGCUGGAGUAUUUUAUUACCCUUGUCUUUUGCGCACUUGUUGUUUCCUGGGCGGGUUCGCUCGCCACCAGGACCACCAAAUAAACCUUUUUUAUGCAGUUGCAAUCAGCGUCAGUACAAACAAUGUAAAUCAUUUACAACUUUCAACAACGGAUCUCUUGGUUCUGGCAUCGAUGAAGAACGCAGCGAAAUGCGAUACGUAGUGUGAAUUGCAGAAUUCAGUGAAUCAUCGAAUCUUUGAACGCACAUUGCGCCCUUUGGUAUUCCAAAGGGCAUGCCUGUUCGAGCGUCAUUUGUACCCUCAAGCUUUGCUUGGUGUUGGGCGUUUUUGUCUUUGGUCGCCCAAAGACUCGCCUUAAAGUGAUUGGCAGCCGGCCUUUCUGGUUUCGCAGCGCAGCACAUUUUUGCGCUUGCCAUCAGCAAGACGGCAAUCCAUCAAGCCUCCUUCUCACGUUUGACCUCGGAUCAGGUAGGGAUACCCGCUGAACUUAAGCAUAUC